rnacentral:rRNA from 1 species
AUUGAACGCUGGCGGCAGGCCUAACACAUGCAAGUCGAGCGGAUGAGAAGAGCUUGCUCUUCGAUUCAGCGGCGGACGGGUGAGUAAUGCCUAGGAAUCUGCCUGGUAGUGGGGGACAACGUUUCGAAAGGAACGCUAAUACCGCAUACGUCCUACGGGAGAAAGCAGGGGACCUUCGGGCCUUGCGCUAUCAGAUGAGCCUAGGUCGGAUUAGCUUGUUGGUGAGGUAAUGGCUCACCAAGGCGACGAUCCGUAACUGGUCUGAGAGGAUGAUCAGUCACACUGGAACGGAGACACGGUCCAGACUCCUACGGGAGGCAGCAGUGGGGAAUAUUGGACAAUGGGCGAAAGCCUGAUCCAGCCAUGCCGCGUGUGUGAAGAAGGUCUUCGGAUUGUAAAGCACUUUAAGUUGGGAGGAAGGGUUGUAGAUUAAUACUCUGCAAUUUUGACGUUACCGACAGAAUAAGCACCGGCUAACUCUGUGCCAGCAGCCGCCGUAA